ACUCAGAAACCCUAAAUUCCUAAAUUGAGAAACCCUAACCCUCACUCCCUCACCACACUCAACCGCACCCCACCCCCUUUCCUUUCCUAAACGUAAACAUCACACACACAAUUGAGAAAGAAACAGAGAGAGGGAAGAGAUGCUGCUCCGCUGUCGUCGUGACGUGACCACCGAACUGCCGCACUCUGUGCUGUCCAGCUCGCCGCCACCGCCGCGUCUCGCCUGCGCCGUCGCCUCCCCUGAGCGGUUGCCGUCAUCACGCGAGAAAGGUGGUGGAGCUCCCGAGGGGUCGUUGAGCCGCUACGGUCACCGUCGUCUCGGCUGACCCCACCGCCGUUGGACCCAUGCACGCAUAGUCGUCCAAGGAGCGCCGCUGACCAUCGCUGUUGCCACUAGGGUUUAUCACCGUUGCUCUGCCUUGCUAUUGCCAUCAGAGCCGCCGCUAAGGAAGGGAGCCCGAACGCCGUCGCUGGGAAGGAGGCUUGGCCGUCGCCGAACAGAACGCGAUGGUACUGAGAGGCAUCACCGCUGAUGAUGCCAAAGCUCGACAAGGGCUAUAGCACUGUCGCCGAACCACCGCGCCGCCGUAGCUGUCACCGGGAAGGUUGUUGGAGCUUGCUGAUGAUACUGUUCUGAUUCUGAAGCAAUUUAUCCAUGUCACUAUUCAUCUUUAUCUCCUGUUUUGCCUCUGCCUCUGAAUUCUGCAAGUUGCCGGCGCCUUCUGCCACCAGGAACCAACAUUCGAGCUGCCCAGGAAACCACCAUUAGAACCACUACUAUUUUGUUACUCUACACCGCCGCAGCUGCCACUGAAGU